rnacentral:tRNA from 1 species
GGGGCUACAGCUCAGUGGUAGAGCACGUGUUUAGCAUGCAUGAGGUCCUGGGUUCAGUCCCAAGCAUCUCCA